rnacentral:lncRNA from 1 species
AUGGGGUGUUUCUGCAGCCGUGAAAGCCCCUCUGCGAAACCUGCAGAAGAAGAAGAGAAAAAGGGGCAGGUCAUCCACCCUGAUAUCCCACCAAGGACACCAGUUGCCUUCACGGCCAAGCUGAACAGGGCCCACAGCACUCCCUACCACCGUGGCAUCCUGAAGCUGGUGGAUGUGCUGGUAAACGAAGGAGACGCCUAUAGCCCUGACACAGGCAUCUUCACAUGCCCCCUGAAGGGACUUUACCACUUUGCCGUACACAUGUCAGUGUGCGGACGGGCUCAGUGUGCCAUAUUCAAGAAUGGAGAAAGUCUGGCUUCUGUGUAUCACACCAGCCUUCCCAAUGACUGCUGUCAGGUGGCCAGUAUCAGCAGCACGGUGCUGCUGUCUGUGGGAGACCAGCUAUGGGUCAACCUCUGGGGGCAUGGGCGCCAUGAAAUAAUUGCAACUGAGGAUAAUGAUACUGUCUUUGUUGGCUUUUAUGUGGGCUGAUAGAGCAAAUUUCAUUCUCUGUGUAUACAAAUGUACACAUGCUUUAUUUUUUAUUUAAAAUAGAAGUUAUUUUAGUUCAGUUGUGCUGCGUGGAUCAACACCUAGCAUGGACAGUAUGUGAUGACUAACAUACGGACAUGAUCAUAAUGAUGAUUCAAAACAGACUGGAAUAAACUUCUUUUAUGACAGUAGUAAAAAUGUUUGGGUUGUUUAUAGUCAUUAUGAAUGGAUGGAUGGAUGGAUGGAUGGAUGGAUGGAUGGAUGGAUGGAUGGAUGGAUGGAUGGAUGGAUGGAUGGAUGGAUGGAUGGAUGGAUGGAUGGAUGGAUGGAUGGAAGGAGUGUCAUUUGUUUCCUAUAAUAGCCCUUUUGUCUUGUUGCCAUGAUGCCAGAGUUGUGAAAUGAUUGCUGUGUGUAUAAUUACAGUGGAGGAGGAAUCUGUGGAAUUCAUUUGCAGAAUGUACAAUGUUGAUAAUGGUUCAGUCAAGACUCAUGUUUCAAUGAAAACCUGUUGGUACAGGCAGCACAACAGUUUCCACCUAAUGGAUGUUUGAGUACUUCAGCUAUUUUCAUUAUAGUUGUCUCACGUUGUCUUCUCUCCGUUUUGGUGGAGCCUGACUAUUGCAUUAAACUUGUUUAAGCAGUAUUAUUUUUAUUUUCAUAUUAAUUUCAACACAAAAAGAUAAUGUUUUAUUAUUCAUUAUACUCACAUUAUAACUGAUGAUUAU